GCACGCCUGUCGGGACCCGAAAGAUGGUGAACUAUGCCUGAGCGGGGCGAAGCCAGAGGAAACUCUGGUGGAGGCUCGAUGCGAUACUGACGUGCAAAUCGUUCGUCUGACUUGGGUAUAGGGGCGAAAGACUAAUCGAACCAUCUAGUAGCUGGUUCCCUCCGAAGUUUCCCUCAGGAUAGCUGGAGCCCAUUACGAGUUCUAUCAGG
rnacentral:ncRNA from 1 species